rnacentral:rRNA from 1 species
AUACGGAGGGUGCAAGCGUUACUCGGAAUUACUGGGCGUAAAGUGCGCGUAGGUGGUCUGUUAUGUCAGAUGUGAAAGUCCACGGCUCAACCGUGGAAGUGCAUUUGAAACUGGCAGACUUGAGUACUGGAGGGGGUAGUGGAAUUCCCGGUGUAGAGGUGAAAUUCGUAGAUAUCGGGAGGAAUACCGGUGGCGAAGGCGACUACCUGGCCAGAUACUGACACUGAGGUGCGAAAGCGUGGGGAGCGAACAGGAUUAGAAACCCUGGUAGUCC